rnacentral:rRNA from 1 species
UACGUAGGGUGCGAGCGUUAAUCGGAAUACUGGGCGUAAAGCGUGCGCAGGCGGUUCGUGAUGUCUGGUGUGAAAGCCCCGGGCUUAACCUGGGAAUUGCAUUGGAAACUAGCGGGCUGGAGUGUGGCAGAGGGGGGUGGAAUUCCACGUGUAGCAGUGAAAUGCGUAGAGAUGUGGAGGAAUACCGAUGGCGAAGGCAGCCCCCUGGGAUAACACUGACGCUCAUGCACGAAAGCGUGGGGAUCAAACAGG